rnacentral:misc_RNA from 1 species
GUUUGCAUCCUGAUCCUGAAUCUGUUUCCUUCAGUAGAAGUUCUAGUCACUCGAGUUCUGGGUUUGGCCGAUAUGUAAGCAGACGCAGAAGAGGUUUGGAUUUGGAAGUUGAGAAUGGGACCGAAAGGUGGUGAUUCGAAAUUGAAAAGCACAAUGGUACUCAAAGGUUCGAUUUUUAUUUUUUCAUCAAUGUAUAUAGAAUUUAAUUAAAUAGGCAAGAAUUUGGUAUUGAAUUCUAGUUCUAUUCCUGAUCAAGGCUUGCAAAGACCAAAGAGAAUCUUUUUAAUUUUAAUCAGAUGGGGACACAAGCAGAAAAUUUGGUUGUCCCUUCAUAUGGCAAAAUUUUGUUGUGGUUCUGGAGAGAUGGGAAAGACCUAAAAAUUGCAAAGUUUGUUUGAAUUAGGAAAAUUUGCAAAUGUAGAAAUGGCACGUUGAUAUUUGUAAGCUUAAUUGUUUUUCUUUUUCUUUCUUUGGCAUUCAUUCUAUGAAUUCCCUCCCCUUCCCCCACGGGAUACACACAAAGACGCACACUUUUAUGUUAUUGGAAUAUGCUGGAUUGAAAGGUUAUUUAAGUUUAGCUUGUCUAGCGAUUAUUUCUUGCCUUUUACUGGCUGAUGCGGAUAAUGACUCUUUAAAGUUGGAGUUAUUAGGCCUGGCUAAUGCAAAUGGAUUAAUCAUAUUUGCGGCCUAAUCAUGUUACUGCCUGCUGGUAGUUCAAUGUUUAUAAUGGCAUGUCUGAUCCUUUUCUUGACAAAACGACGUGCUGCUGGAAUUGUGGCUCAAAAAGCACCAAUUUCAUCAUGUGCCUACUUUUGAGAGCUCUUUUGCCUUUUUCUUUGCUUGUUGUUGGUGGCUUUGGAUCUGUAAUUGAAGCAGUGAAACCCAUUAACCCAAUGAGCAUCUGUCUCUUUUUUAUUAGGAAUUGCAAUAAAACAGCUGGGAUAUGCACUUGUAUGAAUUGGGUGAUCAUGUAUGCAUGCGCAGAAACUGGUUAAAAUAUUAAUGGAUUACGGGUGGUUUACCCAGUCUUCCCACGAGUGGAAAUAGCGCAUCGUUCCACAUUGUGUUGUGUUAAAAUCGUUUGACCUGUCCAUUCAAACAAAGCCAGCUUGGGUUUUGAUUUUUCAAGCCAUAUCUGGACGUGAGGUUGAUGUAUAUCUAUACUAGCUAUAUGUCUGCAUUAUUAAAAGCUUUUGCUCUUUGACUCAGCAUACCCUUCCAUUCUGUUAUAAUGAAAAUUUUAUAAUGUCAUAAUGUAUCAACAAUUAAAUGGGAAGUUGAUA